GCUGGGUGUGGUAGUGCACACCUGUAAUCCCAGCUACUCUGGAGGCUGAGGCAGGAGAAUCACUUGAACCCGGGAGGCGGAGAUUGCUAUGAGCUGAGAUCAUGCCAUUGUACUCCAGUCUGGGUGACAGAGUGAGACCCUGUCUCAA
ensembl:misc_RNA Metazoa_SRP Metazoan signal recognition particle RNA